rnacentral:lncRNA from 1 species
UAGAGACAGGGUUUCGCCAUGUUGUCCAGGCUGGUUUCGAACUCAGCAGCUGGGACUACAGGCGCCCGCCACCAUGCCCAGCUAAUUUUUUUGUAUUUUUAGUAGAGACGGGGUUUCACCGUAUUAACCAGGAUGGUCUCGAUCUCCUGACCUCAUGAUCCGCCCGCCUCUGCCUCCCAAAGUGCUGGGAUUACAGGCAUGAACCACCACACCUGGCCUCAAAAUUUUUUUAUGGU